rnacentral:rRNA from 1 species
UACGUAGGGUGCGAGCGUUAAUCGGAAUUACUGGGCGUAAAGCGUGCGCAGGCGGUUUUGUAAGUCUGACGUGAAAUCCCCGGGCUCAACCUGGGAAUUGCGUUGGAGACUGCAAGGCUGGAGUCUGGCAGAGGGGGGUAGAAUUCCACGUGUAGCAGUGAAAUGCGUAGAGAUGUGGAGGAAUACCGAUGGCGAAGGCAGCCCCCUGGGCUAACACUGACGCUCAUGCACGAAAGCGUGGGGAGCAAACAGG